rnacentral:rRNA from 1 species
UACGAAGGGGGCUAGCGUUGUUCGGAAUCACUGGGCGUAAAGCGCACGUAGGCGGAUUUUUAAGUCAGGGGUGAAAUCCCGGGGCUCAACCUCGGAACUGCCUUUGAUACUGGAGAUCUUGAGUCCGGAAGAGGUAAGUGGAACUGCGAGUGUAGAGGUGAAAUUCGUAGAUAUUCGCAAGAACACCAGUGGCGAAGGCGGCUUACUGGUCCGGAACUGACGCUGAGGCACGAAGGCCAGGGGAGCAAACGGG